CCUACGGGAGGCCGCAGUAGGGAAUUUUCCACAAUGGGCGCAGGCCUGAUGGAGCAACACCGCGUGAGUGAAGAAGGGUUUCGGCUCGUAAAGCUCUGUUUUUGGAGAAGUACGUGCGUGAGAGUAACUGUUCACGCAGUGCCUGUAUCCAACCAGAAAGUACCGGCUAACUACGUGCCAGCAGCCGCGGUAAUACGUAGGUGGCAAGCGUUAUCCGGAUUUAUUGGGCGUAAGGCGAGCGCAGGCGGUUGCUUAGGUCUGAUGUGAAGACCUUCAGCUUAACCGAAGAAGUGCAUCUGAGACCGUGCGACUUGAGUACAGAAGAGGACAGUGGAACUCCAUGUGGAGCGGUGGAAUGCGUAGAUAUAUGGAAGAACACCAGUGGCGAAGGCGGCUGUCUGGUCUGCAACUGACGCUGAGGCUCGAAAGCAUGGGUAGCGAACAGGAUUAGAUACCCUUGUAGUC
rnacentral:rRNA from 1 species